rnacentral:rRNA from 1 species
AUACGGAGGGUGCAAGCGUUACUCGGAAUCACUGGGCGUAAAGGACGCGUAGGCGGGUUGUCAAGUCAGAUGUGAAAUCCUACAGCUUAACUGUAGAACUGCAUUUGAAACUGGCAACCUAGAGUAUGGGAGGGGGAGAUGGAAUUAGUGGUGUAGGGGUAAAAUCCGUAGAUAUCACUAGGAAUACCGAAAGCGAAGGCGAUCUCUUGGAACAUAACUGACGCUAAGGCGUGAAAGCGUGGGGAGCAAACGGGAUUAGAAACCCUAGUAGUCC